rnacentral:rRNA from 1 species
GCCUACGGGGCGCAGCAGUAGGGAAUCUUCUACAAUGGACGAAAGUCUGAUGGAGCAACGCCGCGUGAGUGAAGAAGGGUUUCGGCUCGUAAAGCUCUGUUGGUAGCGAAGAAAGAUAGAGGUAGUAACUGGCCUUUAUUUGACGGUAAUUACUUAGAAAGUCACGGCUAACUACGUGCCAGCAGCCGCGGUAAUACGUAGGUGGCAAGCGUUGUCCGGAUUUAUUGGGCGUAAAGCGAGUACAGGCGGGUUAAU